CAUCAUCUAAUCAACAGAAAUCUUCUGGCAUGCACAGUCCAGUUUGCAAACUAUUCAGCAGAGAGGCUUUUCUAGCCUCUCCAUAAAACAGAGUAAUUAAGCAAAGCUGCUGGAGGGGCUUCCCUCCAUAGCUUCUGGAAUACUGGGAAGGGGGAACAGCGCUUGAAAAAAAAAGGCAACCUCUGGCAACCUCCCUUAGCCCUGGAAGGCUCUCUGGAACAGAAAGCGAUAAAAAAUUGCCUUCCUUUGCUGCUGCUGUUGAGCUGGUCUCGCUCCCAUUGUCGCGGUGCCAGUGCCGAAAGCCCAUCCUGCUUCCCUCGCUCUAAGUGUACUGUCCGUCCUAGAGCAGAUGCAAAGGAGGCAGUGGGACCGCUCAACUUCAGUGCCUCUCCAGCAGUCUCCGAAGUAGAAGAGCACAGCUCUCCUCACAAUAUGCUGUGGGGGAGGAGGAAGGAAGGACUUUGGCCCUGUUUGCUUGUGCUAAUUGAUGGCUUCUGUUGCAGCUAUUCACACUUUUAAAAGAUGGUAACAAGUCUACUGAUUUAGAAGCAAAGAAUAAAAACCCAACAGCCUCAGGAGUGUGUUUGGCGCAGACAAAGCUGCAUCGAAGAGCAUUUAGCAGAAGCACAGCAAGGGGCUGGGCAGAAGAAACUACCCACCUGCAAACACUGAGCUCUGCACAGAUGCACAAAAAUGCUAAAAUAUGCCUUUUUGUUGGGAUACACAGGGAUAACCUCCUCUGCAGCUUGCAAGUCAGGGCUCAGCCCUGCCACUGGCCUGCUCUGUGCUCCACCUCCCUGCCUCACCUUGCUCAGCUGUGGUGGCUUCUGCCUCCUUUAUAAGGCACAUUCUAUGACUCUGACUUUAGUGCUCUCCAGGUGGGAAAUAUCUUUCUUCAUGUAGCCUUCUCUCUGUGUGCUGAGUCUCCUGUUUGGAGAAAGGUUCUGCAUUCCCACUCUCCUACCUUUUUCGUUUCGGGCAGGCAUUGUCUUCUCCUGCUGGGAGAGCACUGUACCUUGCUUAGCAGUUUACAUGCAUUUGGGAGAUUUGAAGACUGAAGUGGAGUGGCUCUAACCUCACCAUGUCCACCUGAACAUCCAAGCAGUGCUGCAGAACUGCAUCCCCCUUUGCCGCCCUCCUGCCUCUCCUCUCCCAGGUUUACCCAGCUCCAGACAACAUUGCCUUGAGAUGCACAUAAUUUUUUCACUAACUGGAAAUAGGAAUCUUACUCUAUCCAUUAGUUACUGUAUAUGCGGUUUGUAUAUAUAAUAUUUAUAUUUUUCCCCAAAGUUGUGAAAUAUAUAAAAUAUAAUUCCUCUAGCUGAGAGCUCAUCAUUCCCAUGACAAGGUGCAAUCAAUAAAUUAUGCACCACUUGUGGUUAUUCUGCAUGUCAACUCAUAUUUCCAUGUCGCUGUCCUGACUGUUACUGAGUGUUUGUGUUGUCGUACCUUUCCACCUCCUCAGUGUUGAUUUAGGAGUUAUUAUUCUGGGCUCAUAGUAACUGCAAGAAAAUCAAGUUCCAAGUGUUUCUGCCAAAAGAAGGAAAUGAAAUGAGCAAGUCAACAGAAAAUUCCACUUGUCAAACACCAUUUGCUUACGACUACGGUUUUGUUACGGAAACUUGCAUUCGGACAAGUUACCCAAAGGAAACAAUUCGCCUUUGCAGUGGGAUAACCCCCAUGCCCAGCAAGGACUCUUGGUCGCGACAGCUGUGGUCCUCAAAUGAGCGAACAGGAAAAAAAACCAAAGCCACUUCUGACACUUACAAAUUAUAUCUCCUGAAUAAUGCAUGACUCAUCCAGAUUGGCUACAGGAGGGGGGUAUGGGGGGGAUGCUUUUUCAAUGGACAACCAGACGGAUAAGGAUUGUAUUAUAAGAAGAGUUUGACAUACCAAGAAGGGAAAAAAAAAAAGCAAAAAAAAAAGCCCAAGUACUCACACACACUUCGAGAUUGACUGUCAAAUCAUUUCACAUCUGUACCUAAAGCAAACAGACAUAAUGCUAACAGCUUGCUGGAGCUCAGAAAUGCCACCCACUAAUCAGUCCACCUGUGGAAUUCUCAGUCCAUCUUGCAAGUCGUGUACCCGAUUGCCAAGACGCCUGACAAGAAAAUGUAUAUUAAAACGUUGAGUAAGACUAGAAAUACAAUGUGGUGUAGUAUAAACAGAAUGCAUUUGCUGGGCGGGAAAACAGAGAUGCCUUUUAAUUCCUCUCGCCGUGACCCGGUGCCGCUCGCUCCUGCCUUCUCUGACGCCGGAUGGUGGGGACUGUUCACUACCUGAAAGGCACGUUCACCUCCUGUGCAUGAUUGUGUCUCCCUCUGCUUUUGUGCAAAAGAAUAAAUAAAUAAAUAAAUAACUACCCCCUCCCUGAA